CGGGGUGCAGCAGGCGCGAAAACUCUACAAUGCAGGCAACUGCGAUAGGGGAACAUCGAGUGAUACUCAUCUUGGGUGUCUGUCCUCCCGUCUAAAAAACGGGAGUUAGCAAGGGCCGGGCAAGACCGGUGCCAGCCGCCGCGGUAAUACCGGCGGCUCGAGUGGUGGCCGAUAUUAUUGAGUCUAAAGGGUCCGUAGCCGGCUUUGCAAGUCUUUUGGGAAAUCCAGCGGCUUAACCGUUGGUCGUCCGGGAGAUACUACAUUGCUUGGGACUGGGAGAGGUAGGAGGUACUCAGGGGGUAGGAGUGAAAUCCUGUAAUCCUUUGGGGACCACCGGUGGCGAAGGCGUCCUACCAGAACAGGUCCGACGGUGAGGGACGAAAGCUAGGGGCACGAACCGGAUUAGAUACCCGGGUAGUCCUAGCCGUAAACGAUGCUCGCUAGGUGUCACAACAAUCGUGAAUUGUUGUGGUGCCGUAGGGAAGCCGUGAAGCGAGCCACUUGGGAAGUACGACCGCAAGGUUGAAACUUAAAGGAAUUGGCGGGGGAGCAC
rnacentral:rRNA from 1 species